UACGUAGGGGGCAAGCGUUAUCCGGAUUUACUGGGUGUAAAGGGAGCGUAGACGGUAUGGCAAGCCCGAUGUGAAAACCCGCAGCUCAACUGCGGGAUUGCAUUAGGAACUGUCAAACUGGAGUCUCGGAGAGGUAAGUGGAAUUCCUAGUGUAGCGGUGAAAUGCGUAGAUAUUAGGAGGAACACCAGUGGCGAAGGCGGCUUACUGGACGAGAACUGACGUUGAGGCUCGAAAGCGUGGGGAGCAAAC
rnacentral:rRNA from 1 species